UCACUCACCAUCUUGGAGACUCCAGGCAGGCUGCAGUGGGGUGAGGGGAGCAGUGCAGAGCCGACGACAUCUCAGGUCGGUAGUCAUUAGCAGGCCCUGAAAUGGAAUGUUUUGCCAAGCUACAACUUAAAACGGGAUCAGCAAAAUGUUUUCUUUCUUGGCAAUCAUCAUGAAGUCAUUGUCCAAUUGAGGACAUUAAACACUUCAGAGCUUCACUGUACGAGGUCUCCUAAAAGAACUGUGGUUCUUGGAAUCGAAUAUCUCACCAGCAGUUACACAGGGGUGCACUUGUCAUUACUUCAAGGGACUCUUGUGAGGAGAGGAAGGAAUUGAAGGGGAAGUCAAGGAAGGAUGCCUAUGGCAGCCCUGACAGUUCUGUGACCCAGGGCCUGUAUUGACUUUGGGGUCAAGACCAAACUCAGUGGUGCUGGACCUGGAUAUUCUUCCCUGUCUUGGGCCAUGUCUCUGCUGGGCCUGCCAGACAGAUGCUGUGGAGGAGGAAGAAGAGGAAGCAGCAUGGCUUAGUGGAAAGAGCGUGGGCCUGGGAAU